ACUUGGCAAAGUUUUGUCUGUAGACACUGACAGCUGGAGUGGGCAGUGUAAAACUGAUUAAUUUUGUUUUUAAAUUAAUUGUAACUUUUUUUCUGAUUUAAAUCUGUUUUUCAACCCUGAAGAUGUUUCCUGACAUGAUUGUGGUUAUGAGCUGAUGACGUUAUGCUGAGAAAAACUACCAGAUGGAGACAAGAACAGAAUAAAACCAGAAAAUCAUCACAGCUGACUCUGGACAGGACGUCACUCUGACAUGUCGAGCUCCAAACAACAACAUCAUCUUAGGUGUAGAGUGGAGCAGAGCUGACCUGAGAGAUGAAUAUGUACUAUUUUACAGAAGUAAGAAAUUUGAUCCAGAAAACCAGCAUCCAUCUUUUAAGAACCGGGUGGAUCUGCAGGACAGACAGAUGAAGGAUGGAGACGCGUCUUUGAUUCUGAAGAAUGUGACGACUAAUGAUAAUGGAACAUACGAGUGUCGUGUCAAGACAGGAACAAACCGUAGAAAGAGAGCAAUUUUAAGUGGAAACCCCAUCAGCAUCAUCACCCUGAGUGUUGUUGAUCCUCCAGGUCAGACAGGAGGAGACACAGAGGAUGGAGGAGACAAAGAUGGAAGGAGGAAGGAAGGCGAGCAGAAUCUGAAUGGAUCUGUUUGGCUGAUUGUCGGUCUCUCAGUUCUCACCGGGCUUCUUGUUGCUGCUGCUGUUGUUUUUGUGAUCUACAGAAAACAUAAACAACAACAGAAUCAGGAUUCAUACCAGCCUCCAGCUGAACAGCAAACUGUUUGAAAGAUUCUUGCAUGGUGACACUGGGAAAGAAACCCAAAAAGCAGGAGACGAUCUGACUGAAGAAACUAAAACAAUAGCGUUCAAGUAUGAAACAAGAAGAGCUGCAUAUUUUCAAAGAAUUUUCACAGAAUGAACGAUGGUUUGAUAAGUAAGACACAGAGGAUGGAGGGAAAAAGGAUGGACCUGUUGGACUGAUCGCUGGUCUGGUAGUUCCUGCUGUGCUUCUUGCUGCUGCUGUUGGUUUUUUGAUAUACAGAAAAUAUAAGUAACCGAAACAGAGUCAGCAUUCAUACCAGCCUUCUGAUGAUCUACAGCAUGGAAAUGGCUCAGCGAUUCACACAGUCAGAUAAGGCUGCAUUCCUAAAACAAACAGAAGGAUAAUGUGUGACUGAAGAAACUAAAACAAUAACAUCCAAGUAGAAAACCAGAAGAGUCACACGUUUCUGAAGAGAUUUCCUAGGAUGGAUGAUAGUUUGAUAAAUAAGUUGUGCUUGGGCUGAAAUAACAGAGGGGUGAACAUGAGUUCGUUCAAUAUUUUCUGUUUUCUACUGUUUGUUUCCCCCAGUAUUCAUUUAUUCAGUGUCUUGUAUGUUACAGAAUCAGAAUCAUUGUGUUUCAUCGUCAGGUUCAGCUGUUUGUAAGAUCAACCCGAUCCUCAUGUAUUGAUCACUGUUACAGUAUACUUAUACUUACUUUCUGAUGGGGCUGGUUACAUAUUUUCUUUUAUGUAUUUUUUAUACUUCAUGUGUGUUCAUUACUAAUGCACCUGCAGCAGAUAGACAAAUAAAAUCAUUUAUUUUUUUCUUUUUAGUGCAACAUAAAACAUUUAGUGGAAAGCUGUAUUGAUGUGCUCUGAAUAAAAUUAAAUGAUGUUA